UAAAUGCAAAAUACACAUAUGACAAUACUACACUACAAGAUUCUAUCAUAUUUAAUGUGAAUGACUUGUUUCUUUAUGGUAAAGCUCAUGAAACGUAAGUUAAAUCUAAGAUGUGUUUGUGUUGCAGAACGCAGAAGACUAUGUUAGCAUUUAUUCAAUUUAAUUUUAGUAGGAAAAUGUUAAUUUAUUUCAAUUUUACUCAUUUUGUAUUGAUACUUGCCUCAAAGUUAAGGAUGAAAACUUGUUAAAGAUUUGUAUAGGUAUAGGUUUGUAACUUACUACUUACAAGAUUUCACAAAAAAGCUGUGCCCUGAGACCAGUGUGACGGGACUAAGUGAUUGACAUCAGUCUUCACCUAUCAGGGACUGGGUCAAUCCAUUUAAGGCUGGAUUGGUUGUCACUCGGGGUGCGUCACGUCCGAUUUUUCCCGCCCGUGUUCAUUGUUUGUGUGGACUAGCUGCAGUGUCUCAUUUGCAUUGUUGCGGCAUUAGUGGAGCUGAUGACUGUCCGCCUUUCAGGUAAUGUGCAUUCUUCCGAGCUGGUGUUUUUAACCUGUUAACAUGCUUGCGGAGGUAAUGUUGUUACGCACAAAAUAGGCAUGAUUUCCUGUACCCCAUUGUGUGCGCGGAAGGCAUGAGUGACAAACCGGUGCCCAUAACUAUUUAUUGCGGCGUAAUAUUCUCACGGUAAGUGCUACCAAUAUUUAAAAUUGAAUUUGGGGAAUUCAAUUUUAAUUCCCUUGUUCUCAUUCGUUACACUUGUCUUUUUGUUUUGUUCCAUUUCAUUCUGUGAAUUUAGUUUAUUUUCUUUUUCUUGGUCGAAUUGUUUGGUUUAAAUUUACUUUUUUUGGAUGUAACCCGAUUUUGUAUUUGAUUUAAGUCUUUUGGUUUUCUUUUGUUUGUACCCCUGUGGUGCGGCGUGGCUUUAAUGUAUUGUUUGUCAUACUUUGAGGUUGAUGUUGUUGUAAUUUUGUAUUUUAUUUUGUUUUUGCUUCAUUGCAGGAGCUGGGGUCCCACGGGUGGUUGGAUUUCUCUCCUGGUGGUGGUUCUUGGUAUGCUGUGUAACACUGAGUGUUUAGUAGUGUGAUCUGAGUGCACAGGUGUGUGUGUGGAAGUGUGCCAUCGUAAAAACCGAACUCCUCUUGCCACUGGAAGCCUCAGCCCUGCUGGAUGUAUGUGAUUUUGUUCUAGGGCCUCAACCUUAGAUUAAUUCUGUAUUCAUAUUCUUUUGUUUUGAAGCGGUGCUUUUUCUUUUUGCCCCCGUAUUUUAAAGUUUAUGUAUUAAUAAACUUUAUACUUUUAUAUGCUA